CAGUCGUGCUCUUUGGAUUCAGCCGGUUCUGCCGGUGUACUUCCUUUGAGUGGGGUCAACAUCAGUUUUGAUCGUCAUAAAAUGAUAGGAGGAAUGUAGCUUCGAUCUUGUAUUGAAGUGUUAUAGCCUUUGGUAGAUGUGAUGAUUGGGAUUGAGGAUUGCAACGGAUACCCUUCGGGGCUACCUGUCUGAUCUCUGAAAGUUGCUCUGGUGCCGAAAGCUUGCUUACGGUAUUAAAGUUGACGUUCAACAGGUUAGAACGGGAUAAA
rnacentral:rRNA from 1 species